rnacentral:lncRNA from 10 species
CCCCCCCCACUCCUGUAAUUUUUGUCUUUUAUUUCCUUUGAAAGAAAUCUGGUUCCCCUUCCUUUAUCCUUUUAUAGGGCCUAUUUAAAAGAUAUUAGGCCUGUCCAUACACUAAAGAACAUCUCAUUGACUGUGACAAUGGGCGAGAUGAAUGAUGGGUUAUAAAUAUUUCUCUCUUCCUUAAUAGCUAACAAUCUUCUCCAAGGACUGUGGACUCCUGUUCCCUGCUCAUCAUGUCAUGGGCAUCUGCCAGGAACCAUCUUUGAUGGUGUAAAAAUCUUGAAUACAUAAGAGGGAAAUUUUAGACUUGUUAGAAAGAAGCCAAGCAAUUGAGACCUUAGAUAGAACUUAGAAUUCUCACCGAGUUUUGUUGGGUAAUUGUUACUUCAAAAAAAAAUGCAAUUUCUGUUCCCUCUUUCCUCCAACCAUUUAUCUGGGAAGCAAGUUAUUGGCAACCCAGAGCUGAUUGUUGGAGCCGGGGAAAAUGGUGUGAAAUGUGAGAAAAUGUAAUUGAGAUAAUAAAAACAAAAGAUUUUACAAUAUAUUAUCCUCUAAGUCAUCCAUUAAAAAAUUGGUAGCAAAAAUGUGCAGUGUUUCAAGACUUUUCUUUUUCUUUUUUUUUUAAUAACAGAUUUAAAGUAGAACAAAAAGUAGACUUCAAAGACGUUUUGUAUUCUUUGAACAUAACCGAGAUAUUUAGUGGUGGCUGCGACCUUUCUGGAAUAACAGAUUCAUCUGAAGUGUAUGUUUCCCAAGUGACGCAAAAAGUUUUCUUUGAGAUAAAUGAAGAUGGUAGUGAAGCUGCAACAUCAACUGGUAGGGUGAAUGAUUUCUGGCCAAGCUAGAAGGAAACAUGGGGAGAGGAUGAACAUUAUGGUGCUGACCCUUUUGAAGUAUUGUACUCUUCUUUUUCUCUUCUGCUGUCUAAUACACUUCAGGAGGAAAAAAAGGAAAUGGUUGUAUACGCUGUUCAUAUUUCUCUUCAGUCACAGCAUGAUACAAAAAGGAAGGGAAGGGGUUUGAUUAGGAGUUGAGACCUAUCUACUGAUAUUUGCUUACUUGCGAAUUGGAUUACCUGUGAAUUAGCAGAUAGGACUUGUGGAUAAAACUUUAGGGCUCAAAUAUAAAAUCAUUAUUUUUUAGGAAUGCUCACCCUUACGUAAUUGUAUUUUAUUUCAUUCUUUCAUUACACCAAGUUAGUCACCACUUUGCUAAUUUGAUUCUUGUUAUUAUCUCUGUGGCAGUGGCUCUCAAACUUAACCUGCACAUAAAAAUCACCUGGGAAGCUUUAAAAACUCCUAUGCCCAGUCAACCGGGCGCGGUGGCUCACGCCUGUAAUCCCAGCACUUUGGGAGGCCGAGGCGGGUGGAUCACGAGGUCAGGAGAUUGAGACCAUCCUGGAUAACACGGUGAAACCCCGUCUCUACU